rnacentral:rRNA from 1 species
AGAGUUGAUUCUGGCUCAGGAUGAACGCUAGCGAUAGGCUUAACACAUGCAAGUCGAGGGGCAGCACGGUGUAGCAAUACACUGGUGGCGACCGGCGUACGGGUGCGUAACACGUAUGCAACCUACCCGCUAUUGGGGGACUAACCCGGCGAAAGUCGGACUAAUACCCCAUAUUAUUCUUACCGGGCAUCCGGUAGGUCUGAAAGAUUUAUCGAUUGCGGAUGGGCAUGCGGAUGAUUAGCUAGUAGGUGGGGUAACGGCUCACCUAGGCGACGAUCAUUAGGGGUUCUGAGAGGAAGGUCCCCCCACACUGGAACUGAGACACGGUCCAGACUCCUACGGGAGGCAGCAGUGAGGAAUAUUGGUCAAUGGGCGCUAGCCUGAACCAGCCAAGUCGCGUGAAGGAUGAACCAGAUCUAUGGUUUGUAAACUUCUUUUGCAGGGGAGUAAAGUGCGACACGUGUGUUGUAUUGCAAGUACCCUGCGAAUAAGCAUCGGCUAACUCCGUGCCAGCCGCGGC